GGUCCUGUGGCCCAAUGGAUAAGGCGCCUGACUACGAAUCAGGAGAUUCCCGGUUCGAGUCCUGACAGGAUCG
rnacentral:tRNA from 1 species